rnacentral:rRNA from 1 species
ACUCCUACGGGAGGCAGCAGUAGGGAAUCUUCGGCAAUGGACGGAAGUCUGACCGAGCAACGCCGCGUGAGUGAAGAAGGUUUUCGGAUCGUAAAGCUCUGUUGUAAGAGAAGAACGAGUGUGAGAGUGGAAAGUUCACACUGUGACGGUAUCUUACCAGAAAGGGACGGCUAACUACGUGCCAGCAGCCGCGGUAAUACGUAGGUCCCGAGCGUGUCGGAUUCGAUUAUGGGCGUAAAGCGAGCGCAGGCGGUUAGAUAAGUCUGAAGUUAAAGGCUGUGGCUUAACCAUAGUACGCUUUGGAAACUGUUUAACUUGAGUGCAAGAGGGAGAGUGAAUUCCAUGUGUAGCUGUGAAAUGCGUAGAUAUAUGGAGGAACACCGGUGGCGAAAGCGGCUCUCUGGCUUGUAACUGACGCUGAGGCUCGAAAGCGUGGGG